GACAGAGGGUGCAAACGUUGCUCGGAAUCACUGGGCGUAAAGGGCGUGUAGGCGGGAAGUAAAGUCAGAUGUGAAAUCCCUGGGCUCAACCCAGGAACUGCAUUUGAAACUCACUUUCUUGAGUACCGGAGAGGAAGGUGGAAUACCUGGUGUAGAGGUGAAAUUCGUAGAUAUCAGGUGGAACACCAGUGGCGAAGGCGGCCUUCUGGACGGUAACUGACGCUGAGGUGCGAAAGCGUGGGGAGCAAACAGG
rnacentral:rRNA from 1 species